GACAGAGGGUGCAAACGUUGUUCGGAAUUACUGGGCGUAAAGGGUGCGUAGGCGGCCGUGCAAGUCUGGCGUGAAAGCCCCGGGCUCAGCCCGGGAAGUGCGCUCGAAACUGCGCGGCUCGAGUGCCGGAGGGGAGAGUGGAAUUCCUGGUGUAGCGGUGAAAUGCGUAGAUAUCAGGAGGAAUACCGGUGGCGAAAGCGACUCUCUGGACGGCAACUGACGCUGAGGCACGAAAGCGUGGGGAGCAAACAGG
rnacentral:rRNA from 1 species